rnacentral:tRNA from 4 species
GCGGGAGUGGCUCAGCUGGUAGAGCGAUACCUUGCCAAGGUAUAGGUCGCGGGUUCGAAUCCCGUCUCCCGCUCCA